rnacentral:rRNA from 1 species
GUGCCAGCCGCCGCGGUAAUACGUAGGGCGCAAGCGUUAUCCGGAAUUAUUGGGCGUAAAGAGCUCGUAGGCGGUUUGUCGCGUCUGCCGUGAAAGUCCGGGGCUCAACUCCGGAUCUGCGGUGGGUACGGGCAGACUAGAGUGAUGUAGGGGAGACUGGAAUUCCUGGUGUAGCGGUGAAAUGCGCAGAUAUCAGGAGGAACACCGAUGGCGAAGGCAGGUCUCUGGGCAUUAACUGACGCUGAGGAGCGAAAGCAUGGGGAGCGAACAGGAGGAUAAACCAGCGGAUUAC